UACGUAGGGUGCAAGCGUUGUCCGGAAUUAUUGGGCGUAAAGAGCUCGUAGGCGGUCUGUCGCGUCUGCUGUGAAAACUCAGGGCUUAACCCUGAGCUUGCAGUGGGUACGGGCAGACUAGAGUGCGGUAGGGGGAGACUGGAAUUCCUGGUGUAGCGGUGAAAUGCGCAGAUAUCAGGAGGAACACCAAUUGCGAAGGCAGCUCGCUGGGACGUAACUGACGCUGAGAACGCGAAAGCGUGGGGGAGCAAACAGG
rnacentral:rRNA from 1 species